UACGUAGGGGGCAAGCGUUGUCCGGAAUCAUUGGGCGUAAAGAGCGUGUAGGCGGCCCGAUAAGUCCGCUGUGAAAACUCGAGGCUCAACCUCGAGACGCCGAUGGAAACCAUCUGGCUAGAGUCCGGAAGAGGAGAGUGGAAUUCCUGGUGUAGCGGUGAAAUGCGCAGAUAUCAGGAAGAACACCCGUGGCUAAGGCGGCUCUCUAGUACGGUACUGACGCUGAGACGCGAAAGCGUGGGGAGCGAACAGG
rnacentral:rRNA from 1 species